rnacentral:pre_miRNA from 1 species
CUCAUACUCUCUCCGUCUCAAAAUUCUUGUCUUAGAUUUGUCUAGAUACAGAUGUAUCUAAUACUAAAAUGUGACUUGAUACAUCCGUAUUUAGACAAAUUUAAGACAAGAAUUUUGGAACGAAGGGAGUACUUG